rnacentral:rRNA from 1 species
AGAGUUUGAUCAUGGCUCAGAUUAAACGCUGGCGGCAUGGCUAAAGCAUGCAAGUCGCGGGAGAAGCACCUUCGGGUGUGGACACCGGCGAAAGGGCGAGGAACGGUAUCGAACGUACCCCGAAGUGGAGGAUAGCCAGUGGAAACGCUGAGUAAUACUCCAUGAUCUCUCCGGAGCAAAGCUACGGCGCUUUGGGAGCGGCGAUAUUCCUAUCAGGUAGUUGGUGAGGUAAAGGCUCACCAAGCCGAAGACGGGUAGCGGGUGUGAGAGCACGACCCGCCGCAUCGGAACUGAGACACUGUCCGGACUCCUACGGGAGGCUGCAGCGACGAAUCUUCCGCAAUGCACGAAAGUGUGACGGAGCAAUGCCGCGUGUGGGAUGAAUCGGCUCCGCCGUGUAAACCACUGUCAGGGAUUAGUAAUACUGAACAAUCCCAAAGGAAGGGCCGGCUAACCUCGUGCCAGCGGCCGCGGUAAUACGAGGGGCCCGAGCGUUAUUCGGAAUCACUGGGCUUAAAGGGAACGCAGGCUGGCUUGUAAGUAUCUCGUGAAAUCCCUCGGCUCAACCGAGGAACUGCGAGGUAAACUACAAGUCUUGAGAUGGGUAGAGGUCAUCGGAACGAUCGGUGGAGCGGUGAAAUGCGUAGAUAUCGAUCGGAACGCCAAAGGUGAAGACAGGUGACUGGGCCCAUUCUGACGCUCAUGUUCGAAAGCGUGGGGAGCAAACAGGAUUAGAUACCCUGGUAGUCCACGCCCUAAACGAUGUGCACUAGGCCCCGGGACUUUCAACGGUUUCGGGGUCGAAGAGAAAUCGAUAAGUGCACCGCCUGGGGAGUACGGUCGCAAGGCUAAAACUCAAAGGAAUUGACGGGGGCUCACACAAGCGGUGGAGCAUGUUGCUUAAUUCGAAGCAACGCGAAGAACCUUACCUGGGUUUGACAUGCACGGAUUAACUCUAUGAAAGUAGAGCCACGCCCUCGGGUGGAACGUGCACAGGUGCUGCAUGGCUGUCGUCAGCUCGUGCUGUGAAGUGUCGGGUUAAGUCCCUUAACGAGCGCAACCCUUAUCGCUAGUUGCCAUCAGGUAAUGCUGGGGACUCUAGCGAGACUGCCGGUGUCAAACCGGAGGAAGGUGGGGAUGACGUCAAGUCCUCAUGGCCCUUAUACCCAGGGAUGCAAACGUGCUACAAUGGCGUGUACAGAGCGAAGCAAGCCCGCGAGGGGGAGCAAAUCGCAAAAAGCACGCCCCAGUUCGGAUUGCAGGCUGCAACUCGCCUGCAUGAAGUUGGAAUCGCUAGUAAUCGGAGAUCAGCUACGCUCCGGUGAAUACGUUCCUGAGCCUUGUACACACCGCCCGUCAAGUCAUGGAAGCCGGGAGCGCCCGAAGUCGCCCUAUCUCAGGGGUGCCUACGGUGAGCUCGGUGACUGGGACUAAGUCGUAACAAGGUAACCGUA